rnacentral:rRNA from 1 species
GAUGAACGCUGGCGGCGUGCCUAAUACAUGCAAGUCGAGCGAACGGACGAGGAGCUUGCUCCUCUGAUGUUAGCGGCGGACGGGUGAGUAACACGUGGAUAACCUACCUAUAAGACUGGGAUAACUUCGGGAAACCGGAGCUAAUACCGGAUAAUAUUUUGAACCGCAUGGUUCAAAAGUGAAAGACGGUCUUGCUGUCACUUAUAGAUGGCUCCGCGCUGCAUUAGCUAGUUGGUAAGGUAACGGCUUACCAAGGCAACGAUGCAUAGCCGACCUGAGAGGGUGAUCGGCCACACUGGAACUGAGACACGGUCCAGACUCCUACGGGAGGCAGCAGUAGGGAAUCUUCCGCAAUGGGCGAAAGCCUGACCGAGCAACGCCGCGUGAGUGAUGAAGGUCUUCGGAUCGUAAAACUCUGUUAGUAGGGAAGAACAUAGGUGUAAGUAACUGUGCACAUCAUGACGGUAACUAAUCAAAAAACCACGGCUAACUACGGGC